AAGUCGUAACAAGGAUCAUUAACACGUAUCCAAACGUUAAAACCCCCCCCGUGAACCUUCAUCGGAAAGUUGUAGUGAUUCAGAGACCUCUGACUACGUGCGAACAUUGGAACAGUUACAAUCGAGCGGUAGUUCUAUAGGCAAUGUUUCCCCAAGCAGUCAGUGUCGGAAAGUGUCAUUGAUUGUGCAAGGAUAGCGCUUCUACGAUUCCUGUAGACCGUACACUCGGGCAGGAGCUUUGCCAAAGGGUCCCCAUGCCCCCUAAUAACCCCACAGUUUAAUGUGAAGCUCAAUGUAAUACAUUGGGUAAAAAAACCGAACAACUGUUAACAAUGGAUAUCUUGGUUCUC
rnacentral:misc_RNA from 1 species